rnacentral:rRNA from 1 species
AUUUAACGCUGGCGGCCGGCCUAACCCAUGCAAGUCGCGCGGAGCGGCGGACGGGUAAGUAAUGCCAAGGAAUCUGCCUUGUAGCGGGGGAUAACGUCCGGCAACGGGCGCUAAUACCGCCUACUAUCAGCUUCGCCUAGGUCGGAUUAGCUAGUGUGUGGGGUAACGGCCUAACAAGGCGACGAUCCGUAACUGGUCUGAGAGGAUGAUCAGUCCGACGGGAACUGAGAAACGGUGCAGACUCCUACGGGAGACAGCAGUGGGGAAUAUUGGACAAUGGGCGAAAGCCUGAUCCAGCCAUGCCGCGUGUGUGAAGAAGGGCGUCGGAUUGUAAAGCACUUUAAGUUGGGAGGCGUUCCCAACAGAAUAAGCACCGGCUAACUUCGUGCCAGCAGCCGCGGUAAUAC